rnacentral:lncRNA from 1 species
UGUAGGCGAAUCGAAUCAAAGAGGCACAAGUUCAGAGGAAUGUCACUAAGACAGUUAUAAUGAGAGUUUAUUACCGUCACUCAUCGUGCAGUGCAAUUUUCCCCCAUCACCACCACACACCAUCAGCCCACCUGGUCACAGCGCCUGAGAUGAUAAACGGCGACGUGGCAAACGGCAGACCCCAACCUCUCCCCCACUCACUACACCACCCCUGAAUUUGUUCGAGGGAAAGCGUUGACGCCCAUGUGAUCAGCUCUAUAAAGACGAGCUAUUUUCGACGUGGCAGUAUCAGUCACAGGUAACUCUUACCCGGUAAAGAGUCUCAGACUGAACAAAAAGGGCAAGAUUUAGGAAGGUGUGAUAGGUUGACUUACCAAACAAUGUCGACUGUCCAUGCACUACUGUGUCUCUGUAGCCUCACCUUGUUCAUCGCUGCGGACUGCAAGGUGUUCACUCCAGAACUGACUUCUAAAAUUGAAGAGUUCGUGAAAAAAUACAUGCAGGCAUAUGGGCCUGUCGGCCUUUCCUUGGCCGUCGUCAAGGGCAACGAGACGUGGACUCGAGGAUUCAUGACCGACAAAGCCUCACAACGACCGAUCGAUUCUUCCACCUUGUUUGCCCUCACGUGGUCGACCACAGUCUUCACAUCAACUCUGCUGGGUAUGCUGAUGGAUGAGAGUAAGAGCGGAUACACAUGGAAUACACCAGUCAAAGACAUCCUUGGCAGCGACUUUCAGCUGGAAAACGACUACAUCACCAAUCACACGACACUCAAAGACAUUCUUACGGGGAGGACGGGUUUAACUAACAACAUCACACCCUUAUUUGCUGGCUUGGAAAUAUCGAGGCAAAAUUUAACGAGACGGCUUCAGUAUUUACCUGCAGCGAGGAGUUUCGUGACGUGUUGAACGACAACCAUCUGGAUGUACGUACUGGCCGGGAGGGUCGCCGAGGUGAUGGGCGGAGCAUCGUGGGAGGAACUUCUCCACCAACGCAUCUUUCAGCCUUUGCAGAUGAACUGACAGCCGGGUCAUCGGGUACAAUGUGAAGGUGGAUGCGGACAACUUCGCCUUGCCUUAUGUUUGGCUCAGGAAUGACGUGGUGCUGUCGGAUAGCGCGAUUUACAGAUUCACACCAGCGGAGCCCACGAUCGGAAUCGCGACCUCAGCAGGCGACAUGGCCAAGUGGUUGUCUUUUCAUUUGCGGGAAGGGAAGACGGCGGACGGAGUGCCUCUUCUCAAGAAGAAAACCCUCAAGGAAACAUAUAAGUUGCAAAUGGCUCUUCCUCAUACUUGGAACUUCGCUAAGAAGCCUGAGGACCCAGUAACCUUCAGCGUCUACGGCACUGGUUUCUCCUGGUUAUUUGUCCUACUACCGAGGUUACCAAGUGGAAUGUACGGCGGGACCAUUAUACAGCUACGACAGCUUUAUAGCCCUUAUUAGAGAUGUAGACCUCGGCAUAUACUUCAGCACUACUGCUUUGUUCGACACGUACCUGCAUACACGAUUUGAAAUCUUCUACUACAUCGUUGACUUACUUCUUGGAGAAGAUCCUUGGCGAAACACAACCACCUUCCCCAAGUUCUCUCUUGCACCAGAUCGAAACGCUACCAACACUACCUAUACUCCUUUUGUUGUCCCAGGUAUCGUGGAAAAUCCUGAACUGUUUGAAGGAACCUACGGUAACAGGCUGUUCGGGGACGUUUCCAUCUCCCGCAACACAAGCGGUGAACUACUAGUCAGCUACGGCCGCAUCUUAGGCAAACUGCGGAAAACCAAUAGCACCAACGUCCUACUGGCAGACCUCUAUGGCCCCUUGGAGUUUUUAUACACAUAGCGGAGAUGACGUGGAGUACAUCAACAUCACCUUCACCUCACCAGGUGAAUUUGGUCAGUACCAGUCGCUUAUGUUGAGUUACUACGAUGACCCGCUUCUGUUCCAGCGUAAUAUCACUUUUCAGAAGUAGCAACAAGUAACGGUACCAGCGGACACAAUCAGCCGUCAUCUCUCCUGGCACUUUAGUACAACAACUUUAGAGAACAAUGUCCAUGAAAGCAAUAAAAGCGAGCUCGUUUAAACAAUUCCAUAUUAUUGUAGAAAAUAUACUUUUUAUGUGAUGAUUAUAUUUAAAGAAAACCACAUUUAUAUAGGAUGUUGUAUAGGGACUAAAUAUAUCAUCAAAUUUCUUGGAAAUGUUUGACUGAAGAAGCAUGGUCCAUCUUUU